GCCACUAAUGGGAAGGGCGGGUGGAAG
rnacentral:piRNA from 1 species